rnacentral:rRNA from 1 species
GAUGAACGCUGGCGGCGUGCCUAACACAUGCAAGUCGAGCGAUUUACUUCGGUAAAGAGCGGCGGACGGGUGAGUAACGCGUGGGUAACCUGCCCUGUACACACGGAUAACAUACCGAAAGGUAUGCUAAUACGAGAUAAUAUGCUUUUAUCGCAUGGUAGAAGUAUCAAAGCUUUUGCGGUACAGGAUGGACCCGCGUCUGAUUAGCUAGUUGGUGAGGUAACGGCUCACCAAGGCGACGAUCAGUAGCCGACCUGAGAGGGUGAUCGGCCACAUUGGAACUGAGACACGGUCCAAACUCCUACGGGAGGCAGCAGUGGGGAAUAUUGCACAAUGGGCGAAAGCCUGAUGCAGCAACGCCGCGUGAGCGAUGAAGGCCU